UGCGGAAGGAUCAUUACAAUCAGUAGAUUUCUACUGUACGACGGGGCUGUAAGACUGUGUUACAGCAGCGAGCCCCUGGUUCAACCCUUGUCUUUUUGCGUACUCAUGUUUCCUUGGUGGACUCGUCUGCCAGCAGGACAAUCAUACAACCCUUUAAUUUUCAAUCAGCGUCUGAAUUACUAUAAUAAUUACAACUUUCAACAACGGAUCUCUUGGUUCUGGCAUCGAUGAAGAACGCAGCGAAAUGCGAUAAGUAGUGUGAAUUGCAGAAUUCAGUGAAUCAUCGAAUCUUUGAACGCACAUUGCGCCCCUUGGUAUUCCAUGGGGCAUGCCUGUUCGAGCGUCAUUUGUACUCUCAAGCUUUGCUUGGUGUUGGGUGUUUGUCCUUCCCUAUGUGUUUGGACUCGCCUCAAAAAUAUUGGCAGCCGGUGUAUUGGCAUUGAAGCGCAGCACAAUUUGCGGUUCUAAGCUCCUAUCACUGGCACCCAUUAAGACUAUUAAACACGCU
rnacentral:misc_RNA from 1 species